GGAGAAAUUCAAUAUCGCCCUUAACCGGCGAUGUGCACUUUUCUCCCAGUAAGACGCUGUGAUCCAUUAGAAAUCGGACCAUGCCAAUGGUUAGUGGGCUAUCAAUAGGCUGACAUGAAGUUCGGUGGUGCAAAUGGCGCGAUCAUAAACGGUUGUGUGUAUUGCCCGUCGAGCAUGUUGUGUCCUGAAAUAGCUGUCUGAUGGAUUUUAAAGGCCAUAUUACUGAUGUCGCAAGGCAUCGCCCAUUACGAUGGGAGUGGAUAUGUGCCCGAUCAACAGCGGUUAAAUUUGUGAUACCUUUGGGACCCGUCUUGAAACACGGACCAAGGAGUCUAUCUAGUAUGCAAGUAAAUGGGUAUAUGAAACCUAUUUGCAGAAAAAACUUGACUUU
rnacentral:rRNA from 1 species